AUUGAACGCUGGCGGCAGGCCUAACACAUGCAAGUCGAACGAGUGGCGGACGGGUGCGUAAUGUCUGGGAAACUGCCUGCUGGCGGGGGAUAGCUAAUGGAAACGGUAACUGAUACCGCAUACCAUCAGCUGUGCCCAGAUGGGAUUAGCUAGUUGGUGGGGGAAAGGCUAACCAAGGCGCCGCUCCCUAGCUGGUCUGUGAGGAGGACCCGCCACACUGGAACUGAGACACGGUCCAGAGUCCUACGGGAGGCAGCAGUGGGGAAUAUUGCACAAUGGGCGCAAGCCUGAUGCAGCCAUGCCGCGUGUAUGAAGAAGGCCUUCGGGUUGUAAAGUACUUUCAGCGGGGAGGCGUUACCCGCAGAAGAAGCACCGGCUAACUCCGUGCCAGCAGCCGCGGUAAUUC
rnacentral:rRNA from 1 species